GCCUAACACAUGCAAGUCGAACGGAACUAUUUUGACUGAUUCCUUCGGGAUGAAGGAUUUUUAGUUUAGUGGCGGACGGGUGAGUAACGCGUGAGUAACCUGCCUCUGAGAGGGGAAUAACGUUCUGAAAAGAACGCUAAUACCGCAUAACACAUAUUUGCCGCAUGACAGAUAUGUCAAAGAUUUUAUCGCUCGGAGAUGGACUCGCGUCCGAUUAGUUAGUUGGUGAGGUAACGGCUCACCAAGACCGCGAUCGGUAGCCGGACUGAGAGGUUGAACGGCCACAUUGGGACUGAGACACGGCCCAGACUCCUACGGGAGGCAGCAGUGGGGGAUAUUGCGCAAUGGGGGCAACCCUGACGCAGCAACGCCGCGUGAAGGAUGAAGGUUUUCGGAUUAUAAACUUCUUUUAUCAGGGACGAACUCUGACGGUACCUGAUGAAUAAGCUCCGGCUAACUACGUGCCAGCCGCCGCCGUAACAC
rnacentral:rRNA from 1 species